rnacentral:rRNA from 1 species
AACGAACGCUGGCGGCAGGCUUAACACAUGCAAGUCGAACGGAUCCUUCGGGAUUAGUGGCAGACGGGUGAGUAACGCGUGGGAACGUACCCUUUGCUACGGAAUAACUCAGGGAAACUUGAGCUAAUACCGUAUGUGCCCUACGGGGGAAAGAUUUAUCGGCAAAGGAUCGGCCCGCGUUGGAUUAGCUAGUUGGUGGGGUAAUGGCCUACCAAGGCGACGAUCCAUAGCUGGUCUGAGAGGAUGAUCAGCCACACUGGGACUGAGACACGGCCCAGACUCCUACGGGAGGCAGCAGUGGGGAAUAUUGGACAAUGGGCGCAAGACUGAUCCAGCCAUGCCGCGUGAGUGAUGAAGGUCUUAGGAUUGUAAAGCUCUUUCACCGGUGAAGAUAAUGACGGUAGCCGGAGAAGAAGCCCCGGCUAACUUCGUG